rnacentral:rRNA from 1 species
UAGGGAAUCUUCCGCAAUGGACGAAAGUCUGGUGGAGCAACGCCGCGUGAGUGAAGAAGGGUUUCGGCUCGUAAAACCCUGUUGUUAAAGAAGAACAUAUCUGAGAGUAACUGUUCAGGUAUUGACGGUAUUUAACCAGAAAGCCACGGCUAACUACGUGCCAG